rnacentral:rRNA from 1 species
AGAGUUUGAUCCUGGCUCAGGACGAACGCUGGCGGCGCGCCUAACACAUGCAAGUCGAACGAGCGAGAGAGAGCUCGCUUUCUCAAGCGAGUGGCGAACGGGUGAGUAACGCGUGAGGAACCUGCCUCAAAGAGGGGGACAACAGUUGGAAACGACUGCUAAUACCGCAUAAGCCCACGGCUCGGCAUCGAGCAGAGGGAAAAGGAGUGAUCCGCUUUGAGAUGGCCUCGCGUCCGAUUAGCUAGUUGGUGAGGUAACGGCCCACCAAGGCGACGAUCGGUAGCCGGACUGAGAGGUUGAACGGCCACAUUGGGACUGAGACACGGCCCAGACUCCUACGGGAGGCAGCAGUGGGGAAUAUUGCACAAUGGGGGAAACCCUGAUGCAGCGACGCCGCGUGGAGGAAGAAGGUCUUCGGAUUGUAAACUCCUGUUGUUGAGGAAGAUAAUGACGGUACUCAACAAGGAAGUGACGGCUAACUACGUGCCAGCAGCCGCGGUAAAACGUAGGUCACAAGCGUUGUCCGGAAUUACUGGGUGUAAAGGGAGCGCAGGCGGGAAAGCAAGUUGGAAGUGAAAUCCAUGGGCUCAACCCAUGAACUGCUUUCAAAACUGUUUUUCUUGAGUAGUGCAGAGGUAGGCGGAAUUCCGGUGUAGCGGUGGAAUGCGUAGAUAUCGGGAGGAACACCAGUGGCGAAGGCGGCCUACUGGGCACCAACUGACGCUGAGGCUCGAAAGUGUGGGUAACAACAGGAUUAGAUACCCUGGUAGUCCACACUGUAAACGAUGAUUACUAGGUGUUGGAGGAUUGACCCCUUCAGUGCCGCAGUUAACACAAUAAGUAAUCCACCUGGGGAGUACGACCGCAAGGUUGAAACUCAAAGGAAUUGACGGGGGCCCGCACAAGCAGUGGAGUAUGUGGUUUAAUUCGACGCAACGCGAAGAACCUUACCAAGUCUUGACAUCCUGCGACGGUGCUGGAAACAGUACUUUCCUUCGGGACGCAGAGACAGGUGGUGCAUGGUUGUCGUCAGCUCGUGUCGUGAGAUGUUGGGUUAAGUCCCGCAACGAGCGCAACCCUUAUGGUCAGUUACUACGCAAGAGGACUCUGGCCAGACUGCCGUUGACAAAACGGAGGAAGGUGGGGAUGACGUCAAAUCAUCAUGCCCUUUAUGACUUGGGCUACACACGUACUACAAUGGCGUUAAACAAAGAGAAGCGAGACCGCGAGGUGGAGCAAAACUCAGAAACAACGUCCCAGUUCGGACUGCAGGCUGCAACUCGCCUGCACGAAGUCGGAAUUGCUAGUAAUCGCAGAUCAGCAUGCUGCGGUGAAUAAGUUCCCGGGGGCCUUGUACACACCGCCCGU